CCGAGCGGUAGAGAUCUUUCGGGAUCUUGAGAGCGGCGUACGGGUGCGGAACACGUGUGCAACCUGCCUUUAUCUGGGGGAUAGCCUUUCGAAAGGAAGAUUAAUACCCCAUAAUAUAUUGAAUGGCAUCAUUUGAUAUUGAAAACUCCGGUGGAUAGAGAUGGGCACGCGCAAGAUUAGAUAGUUGGUGAGGUAACGGCUCACCAAGUCAGCGAUCUUUAGGGGGCCUGAGAGGGUGAUCCCCCACACUGGUACUGAGACACGGACCAGACUCCUACGGGAGGCAGCAGUGAGGAAUAUUGGACAAUGGGUGAGAGCCUGAUCCAGCCAUCCCGCGUGAAGGACGACGGCCCUAUGGGUUGUAAACUUCUUUUGUAUAGGGAUAAACCUACCCUCGUGAGGGUAGCUGAAGGUACUAUACGAAUAAGCACCGGCUAACUCCGUGCCAGCAGCCGCGGUAAUACGGAGGGUGCAAGCGUUAUCCGGAUUUAUUGGGUUUAAAGGGUCCGUAGGCUGAUUUGUAAGUCAGUGGUGAAAUCUCACAGCUUAACUGUGAAACUGCCAUUGAUACUGCAAGUCUUGAGUGUUGUUGAAGUAGCUGGAAUAAGUAGUGUAGCGGUGAAAUGCAUAGAUAUUACUUAGAACACCAAUUGCGAAGGCAGGUUACUAAGCAACAACUGACGCUGAUGGACGAAAGCGUGGGGAGCGAACAGGAUUAGAUACCCUGGUAGUCCACGCCGUAAACGAUGCUAACUCGUUUUUGGGCUUUUGGGUUCAGAGACUAAGCGAAAGUGAUAAGUUAGCCACCUGGGGAGUACGAACGCAAGUUUGAAACUCAAAGGAAUUGACGGGGGCCCGCACAAGCGGUGGAUUAUGUGGUUUAAUUCGAUGAUACGCGAGGAACCUUACCAAGGCUUAAAUGGGAAAUGACAGGCUUAGAAAUAGGCUUUUCUUCGGACAUUUUUCAAGGUGCUGCAUGGUUGUCGUCAGCUCGUGCCGUGAGGUGUUAGGUUAAGUCCUGCAACGAGCGCAACCCCUGUCACUAGUUGCCAUCAUUAAGUUGGGGACUCUAGUGAGACUGCCUACGCAAGUAGAGAGGAAGGUGGGGAUGACGUCAAAUCAUCACGGCCCUUACGCCUUGGGCCACACACGUAAUACAAUGGCCGGUACAGAGGGCAGCUACACUGCGAAGUGAUGCAAAUCUCGAAAGCCGGUCUCAGUUCGGAUUGGAGUCUGCAACUCGACUCUAUGAAGCUGGAAUCGCUAGUAAUCGCGCAUCAGCCAUGGCGCGGUGAAUACGUUCCCGGGCCUUGUACACACCGCCCGUCAAGCCAUGGAAGUCUGGGGUACCUGAAGUCGGUG
rnacentral:rRNA from 1 species